rnacentral:rRNA from 1 species
AUUGAACGCUGGCGGCAUGCCUUACACAUGCAAGUCGAACGGUAACGGGCCUUCGGGUGCCGACGAGUGGCGAACGGGUGAGUAAUACAUCGGAACGUGCCCGAUCGUGGGGGAUAACGAGGCGAAAGCUUUGCUAAUACCGCAUACGAUCUACGGAUGAAAGCAGGGGACCGCAAGGCCUUGCGCGGACGGAGCGGCCGAUGGCAGAUUAGGUAGUUGGUGGGAUAAAAGCUUACCAAGCCGACGAUCUGUAGCUGGUCUGAGAGGAUGAUCAGCCACACUGGGACUGAGACACGGCCCAGACUCCUACGGGAGGCAGCAGUGGGGAAUUUUGGACAAUGGGCGCAAGCCCGAUCCAGCCAUGCCGCGUGCAGGAUGAAGGCCUUCGGGUUGUAAACUGCUUUUGUACGGAACGAAAAGCCUUCUUUUAAUACAGGAGGGUCAUGACGGUACCGUAAGAAUAAGCACCGGCUAACUACGUG